rnacentral:tRNA from 3 species
GGAGGGGUGGCCGAGAGGCUGAAGGCGGCGGUUUGCUAAACCGUUGUACGAUGUCAAGUCGUACCGUGGGUUCGAAUCCCAUCCCCUCCGCCA